UACAGAGGUCUCAAACGUUGUUCGGAUUCAUUGGGCGUAAAGGGUGCGUAGGUGGCGAGGUUAGUCAGGUGUGAAAUCUCGGGGCUCAACCCCGAAACUGCACUUGAUACUGCCUUGCUAGAGUACUGGAGAGGAGAUUGGAAUUUACGGUGUAGCAGUGAAAUGCGUAGAUAUCGUAAGGAAGACCAGUGGCGAAGGCGAAUCUCUGGACAGUUACUGACACUGAGGCACGAAGGCCAGGGGAGCAAACGGG
rnacentral:rRNA from 1 species